rnacentral:rRNA from 1 species
GGUUCGAUCCUGGCUCAGACUGAACGCUGGCGGAUGCUGCAUACUACGCAAGUCGAACGGCAGCACGGACUUCGGUCUGGUGGCGAGUGGCGAACGCAGGAGUAAUGUAUCGGGAACGCAGUCAGUAGCGGGGGAUAACUACGCGAAAGCGUAGCUAAUACCGCAUACGCCCUUCGGGGAAAGCGGGGACCUUCGGCCUCGCACUAUUAGGAGCGCUGACAUCGGAUUAGCUAGUUGGUGGGGUAACGGCUCACCAAGGCGACGAUCCGUAGCUGGUUUGAGAGGACGACCAGCCACACUGGGACCGAGACAUGGCCCAGACUACGGGAGGCAGCAGUGGGGAAUUUUGGACAAUGGGGAAAACCCUGAUCCAGCCAUCCCGCGUGUGCGAUGAAGGCCUUCGCUUGUAAAGCACUUUGGCAGGAAAGAAACGGACGGGAUAAUACCCCGUGCAACUGACGGUACCUGCAGAAUGCUACCGGCUAACCACGUGCCAGCAGCCGCAAUACGUAGGGCGCAAGCGUUAAUCGAACUAUUGGGCGUAGCGCAGGCGGUUCGAAAAAGAAAGAUGUGGAAACUUCUUAGAGAGCCUUUAACUUAAACUGCAUUUUUAACUACCGAGCUAGAGGUGUCAGAGGGAGGUGGAAUUCGCGUGUAGCAGUGAAUGUAGAUAUGCGGAGGGACACCGAUGGCGAAGGCAGCCUCUGGGAUGCCACUGACGCUCAUGCACGAAAGCGUGGGGAGCAAACAGGAUUAGAUACCCUGCAAACCACGCUCCCAAACGAUGUCAACCACGUUGGGGCCUUCGCCUUGCGCGCAGCUAACGCGGAAGUUUAACCGCCCAGAAGUAAUGGUCGUGCGAUUAAAACUCAAAGGAAUUGACGGGACCCGUACGCCGGUGGAUGAUGUGGAUUAAUUCGAUGCAACGCGAAAAACCUUACCUACCCUUGACAUGUCUGAAUCCCGAAGAGACUUGGGAGUGCUCGCAAGAGAACCGGAACACAGGCUGCAUUUAGCUGUCGUCAGCUCGUCGUGAGAUGCUGGCUAAGUCCCGCAACGAGCGCAACCCUUGUCAUUAGUUGCUACGAAAAGGGCACUCUACACAGAUCUGCCGGUGACAAACUGGAGGAAGGUGGGGAUGACGUCAAGUCCUCAUGGCCCUUAUGUAGCAGGGCUUCACACGUCAUACAUCGGUCGGGACAGAGGGUCGCCAACCUGCGAGGGGGAGCCAAUCCCAGAAACCCGAUCGUAGUCCGGAUCGCAGUCUGCAACUCGACUGGGCGUGAAGUCGGAAUCGCUGCAAUCGCGGAUCAGCAUGUCGCGGUGAAUACGUUCCCGGGUCUUGUACACACCGCCCGUCACACCAUGGGAGUGGGUUUUACCAGAAGUAGUUAGCUCAACCGUAAGGAGGGCGAUUACCACGGUAGGAUUCAUGACUGUGGGGUGAAGUCGUAACAAGGCAG